GUUGUUCAUUUCAUUUGGUUGAACGAACGAACGUCCGUCCGUCUGUCUGUCACACACCAGCAUUCAUCCAUCCAUCGUCCGUCUAUUGUUGGUGUCGGUGUCUGCUGCCGCUGCUGUUAUUGUUGUUUCUGUAUUUCUUUUUUCAUUGUUUGUUUAAUUAAAUUUUAUUCUCACCUUAUUUUUCGUGCGGAUGUGUGUGUGUUUGUUUGAUUGUAGUGAGAAGAAUACUUUUUCCUCUGCAAUUGUUAGAAUGCCAAACAAUUGUUGUUGUUGCUGCUGCUAUUAGUGUUCACAAAGGAAUAUCUUUUUGGCAUUUGAUGCGAAUGGCGGGCGGUGGAGGACAGGCAGUGGCGUGGAGAAUUUAAAUUAGAGAAUUGUUUGACAUACACCCCCACACAUACUCUUAUUCUCAGCAAAGGUGUUUUAAUUGAGAAACUCAAGAAAUGAAAAAAAAAAAGAAAUUCCCCUUAAUUGAGUUCAAUCGUCCGUUGUUCGGUGUAUGAGAGAAGGAACGAGAGAGAGUGACAAGGAGGGAGAACAGGCAUUACAGGCAAGGGAAAAUCAAAAUAAACACAAGUCACGGUUUUAUGAAAGUGCUAAAAUUAUAAACACGAUAUUAAAUAAUACAUUUUUUUCAAAUCUAUAGGUGGUUAAGUAUUUUUGUUGUUCGCCUUCGUGAUUUUCAAACAGAAUUAAUUGUUGGUGCUUUUGCAUAAAUAAUUUUCACUUUAUUAAAUAUUCAUUAGCGUUCGUAUAAUAAUUUCUGUGUUGAGUUUUUUUGUUUUGUUUUCUUUCACAAUCACACCUCAAGUUAUUGGAAGCGUAAAAAAAGAAGAGGAGGGGUCGCACACACAUUCAUGCCUCAUGCAAUUUUCAAGAAGAAAAAUUCCCAAAAAUAAAAAUUUGAAAUGAAUGAGGAAUUUCAAAUAUGUAUUCCGAACUAUUUGAAACCAAUUUGAAAGGAAGAAUAAUGACGUGGAGUAUAUAAGAUAGAAGACUUGUAAAGUGUAUAAAGAAAUAUUUUGGGAAACGCUUUAAAGGAGUAAGUUGGCCACAAUUAUCUGAGUUGCCUUGGCCAUUUCCAAAUAUCACUGAAGGAUUCAUAAUGUAUUCGGGGGAUUAAAAAGCGCUGCGCAGCAAAUAAUAUUCUCCAAGAUGUUAUGAGCCUUCUAGCUAUAGUAUGAAUGAACGUGGCUUGUUAUGGUUAUCCAACCAAAGGCUGAUGAUUUUGUGAUGGGUUUUAUCAGUUUUUGAAAAAAUACACAUUUUAUGAAUAAAAUUUGGAAAGUGAGUGAAAAGUAUAUGCUGAUAAUAGACGAUUAUAGAAAAAAUACCAAAUUAACCGGAGACUGAGCGCGUUGUAUAAGGGGUCCCUCACUGGUCUGCGGAAUCUGGUUCUAUGCAAGUCCAAAAUGGUAAUGAAUAUUUUAAAACGAAACUAGAGCAUAAAACCGAGUAUAUCCAAGAACAAAGUAGAUGUGCCACAAGGCGGAUUUCACCCAUUUUUCCUCAAUUUAUGUCUUCCGAAGGCCUUCCUUCCAUCUCCAGAGAUAUCGAUGUAAUCGUACGCUGACGAUAGUUAUAUUAAUUCAUCAGGUGUGAACUUUAAUGUGAAGUUAAUCUAGAGCUAGAUAUAUUUAUCGGAGGAAGGCGUAUACCCACAGUACAUAAUCAAAAAUUAUUGGGAGUAGUCUCCGACGAACUUACUUCAUUCCUUAGCAACACACAGGGAAGCAAUUUGUAAACGUCCCAAAACAAUUACUCCGAGUUGCAUGUAGUUGUGACCAAAAAAAAACACUGUGGAUCGACUUUAAGAGACGACCACAUUCCCAACACAUCCGUCAAGACUUUAAAUGCAAUCGUGAGGGAUUUAAGAUAGAUAUAUUCCAAUAAAGGAGGAUAGUUUCGACAACCUUCUUCUCUGUACUUCGGUUCUUAACAACACUCAGGGAAGAAAUUUACAAACGUCCCACGUGAAGAGGCGAAGGUCUUACCUGUGGGACAGCAUAAUAUGCUGUCAAUGCAAUACCUGCUUAGAUAUGGCCGACAGAGCCAUCCGAAUCACCACCUUCAUGAUCUAGAGAGAGAGGUCCAGAGGUAUAAGAGAGAGCCUCUAGAUCAACAAGCCUAUCAAGCGGGACUGAAUAGAAUUUACGCUAACGCGGUCUCAGAUCGCAGCUGAAGAACGAGAUCUUCCCCGAGAAACCCGAGUAGUUUUGGCUCAACUAAGAUCCGUAUGGUGCAGUCGCCUCAAUUUCUAUUGGACCUGGAUUGACAGCGAUGUGCAGAACAUCUGUCCAGCUUGUGGCACAGAACCACAUGACACGCUGCACCAUUUCGCUGUCCAGCCAAACCUACUUACCUAACUUCAGUCUUGUUGUGGACCCAAGCCGUACAAGUUGCAUCCUUUUUGAGACUGGACUUAGAGGCUGAUUCCGAUUGAGAAGAGUCAGAUCGAACACGGCAGUAUGAGCUGCUACAACAAUAACAACAAACGUCCCAAAACAUAGUACCCCCAGUUGCAACUGGUUAUGCCCAAAAAGGCCAGUGUGGAUCGACUUCCAGAGAAGACCACCUUCCCAACAAAUCCGUCAAGACUUAAAAUGCAACCGUGAAGGAUUCAAAGCGCCAUUCCACCGAACAUUAACAAAUCGGCUGUCCAUGGCAAACGCUAUGAAGAGAUAGUAUAUCAAAGCCCUAAAACAGCAGCAAAGAUGUAAUUAAAUCCCAAACCGAUAUUCUUGGACAGUGAGUGGAAACGUCUUUGGCAUACUUCCACGCGGGGAAUAUGAAAAUAUCCGCCACUAAAUCAACGGCCAAACUCUUUACUACAUGGUCUGCAGAGAUGAGAACACAGCUGAAUGUUCAGGUCGAGGGGAAUUUAAUAACGACCACGAACUACCCCAAGAUUCUAGGGGUCACAUUCCACAGCAUGUUCAAGUCGUCCGCGUAAGCCACAGCUAUCUACGACAAGAUGAAAAGUAGGAACAAGGUCAUCAAGGUGCUAGGCGGCAGAACUUGGGGUUCGGACAAGGAAACCUUGUUGACCUCUUGUAACGCGAUAGGUCAGUCUGUGGUCAGCUAUGCGGCUCCAGUGCGGUCUGCGAAUACUAGUGCUACGCGGUGGAAGCACAUCCAGACCUGCCAGAAUGCUGCCCUGUAAACUGCGACAGGGUGCCUUCUCAUGACACCAGUGGACCAACUACAUGAGGGGGAGGAAGUCCUACCCUUACAUCAGCAUAAUCAUAUGCGUUCGUUGCAGUAUCUGCUUGGGUGUUACCGUGAGAGUCAUCCCAAAUAUCAUGUGGUGGACAGAACUCCCACACCCAGUCGUGUCAGGAAGGACAUACACGAUCUAAAGAGAGGGAGGUCCAACGCUACAAAAGAGAACCUCUAGAUGAAGAAGUCUAUUAGGCAGGUGUGAGUGGCAUUUAUACCGAUGCAGUUGCAGAUGCUAUCAGCAGUUACAGGAUGUAUGCCGUCCUCGGAGUCCACCCCAUCAAUUGCAGCUGAUGAACGCAAGCCAGUUUUGGGGCGAUUACGUUCAGGGUGAGAUGAAAAAACUGCAACCAACUUCAGACUGCUUCCAUUUCUGAGUCACUCGUCCGACAGCUGUUAAAAUUAUUCGAGUGACAGCUCAUUAUAUUAUUUACAAGCGUACAAAAGCAUUUUGGUGAGAAUUUUCCAGAAAAGAAGUUAUUCGUGAUGGAAUUCAAGCAUGAUAGUGCAAUUUCUUUAUAUUUGGCUGGAAAACCACAAAUGGCUAUCGUUAGAGCACUCCAGCAUUUAAAUGUGAAUUAAUCUUUUGUGUCUCGUACCAUCGCUCGUUUUCGUGAUACUGGUAGCGUAGCCGACGUCAAGAAAGUGGACGAAAGAAAACAGCAACAUCAGCAGAAAUGGUUUGAAAAGUAAAGAAGCGACUUGAUCGAAACCCGCGUCGCAGUGGCCGAAAAAUGGCUUGUUAGAUGAACAUAUCGCCGAGAAUGGGCCAAAAUACAGCAGAGAUACAUUCGGGCAGCGUGUGACCGACAUUUUUUGCUUUCAUUCAGAAAAAAUUAAAAAAAAAAUGUAAAAAUUAUGGCGUUUGACUUUUUUUUAUCUCUCCCUGUAGUCGUCUCAAGAAUCUUAAAUGUUGUUAAAUGUCGGUAUGUAAUACAUUAAAUCAUAGAUGCUAAGAUGCUCCCAUCCCCCUCAUUCUUCUCACACGAUUUUUAACCUUCUCUAGGAGACUAUUUCUACUGCCUAAUAAAUUUCCGUUCCAGGCUUUAACUAUACGACAAACAAAUUGGACCGGAAAGUCUUUGAGUGGAAUAUCUAUCUAACACUGUAACUGCGCAUACUUAAAAGGGUAUAAAUACUAAAUAACCCUUUCUCACCACCCCUUUGGCCAGUUCCUCUUUAAUGAUGAUAGAUUUAGGCUUUAUCAUCAACAAUAAAAUGUAUUCAUAUGGUGUAUUAUUAUUUCAUCCAUCAAAGACAAUUGGCGGCGGCCAUAGAAAAUUAUAUGGUGGACUGAAUUCAUCAUCAACCAUCUGCACCACUCUUAAAUAAGACAUAUCCUACAUGAACAGCACCACCACCGCACUCACACUUUGGUAAUGGCCCGACUCUGACCGGCCAUUUGGCAUUUUUCAUUUGUGGAGAUAGAUAUUUGACAGGAGCAGGGGGAGGAGGAUGAGGAGCGUGAGUAGCUGAAAGGAGGACGAACGUUUGCUUGCUGGCUUACUUACUUAGUAUCGUUUUUCAUUAUUAAUAGAAUGAACUUGGCAAUUUAGUGGACAUUUUGAAAUUUCUGUUAAAGUUCAAUUAAUUGUGUCAUUUAUCAUCAUUCUUUUUUUUUUGGUGGAGGGGGUUGGUCCUACAUUCUUUCUUCAAAGCUGCAAUUUUGAGGCAAAUAUAAUUCAAGUCAUACUAAAGGGGUUGAUUGUCAUUGAUAUGACGACGACAUGGCAAAUUACAGAAUGCUGAAUUUUGCUAGUUUUUCCCGCAAA